UGAAAAAUUCGAAGUACAUUGGAGUGCUGAAGACCAACUAAUUGAGCCUAACGGUUCAAUGUUGGCAAGUUACAUUGGUUCCCUUGUUCGACAACAUAUUCCGAUUACAUGUGAUAAUUGGAGAAGUCCGGAAUUGAAGGUUGGCAAAGAAAAAAUAUGGUCCGAGAUACAGGUACUUACCAUAUAUUAUUAUAUGUUUUU
rnacentral:lncRNA from 1 species